rnacentral:rRNA from 1 species
CUCGUAGACGGUUCGUCGCGUCCGGUGUGAAAGUCCAUCGCUUGACGGUGGAUCCGCGCCGGGUACGGGCGGGCUUGAGUGCGGUAGGGGAGACUGGAAUUCCCGGUGUAACGGUGGAAUGUGUAGAUAUCGGGAAGAACACCAAUGGCGAAGGCAGGUCUCUGGGCCGUCACUGACGCUGAGGAGCGAAAGCGUGGGGAGCGAACA